rnacentral:rRNA from 1 species
AUUGAACGCUGGCGGCAUGCCUUACACAUGCAAGUCGAACGGUAACAGGUCUUCGGAUGCUGACGAGUGGCGAACGGGUGAGUAAUACAUCGGAACGUGCCCGAUCGUGGGGGAUAACGAGGCGAAAGCUUUGCUAAUACCGCAUACGAUCUACGGAUGAAAGCGGGGGAUCUUCGGACCUCGCGCGGCCGGAGCGGCGGAUGGCAGAUUAGGUAGUUGGUGGGAUAAAAGCUUACCAAGCCGACGAUCUGUAGCUGGUCUGAGAGGAUGAUCAGCCACACUGGGACUGAGACACGGCCCAGACUCCUACGGGAGGCAGCAGUGGGGAAUUUUGGACAAUGGGCGAAAGCCUGAUCCAGCCAUGCCGCGUGCAGGAUGAAGGCCUUCGGGUUGUAAACUGCUUUUGUACGGAACGAAAAGCCUCUUUCUAAUAAAGAGGGGUCAUGACGGUACCGUAAGAAUAAGCACCGGCUAACUACGUG